rnacentral:lncRNA from 10 species
AUUAACUGCUCCUUUUCCUCCACGUUCAUAAGGUCUUCUAAGAAAUUUCCUUCCCAAUUCACUUGGUAAGUACCUGCUCAGGCUGUUAUUCUAUAAUGAAUUUGUGUCUUUUCUCCUAUUUUUCCUGUGCCGCCCUUUUUAUCUGGAGUCAGGAUUCUGAGCUCUGACCUCCCUCCUUGUCAUGUUGCCUGAGGAGAAUUGCAGACAGACCCUCAGACCUCAAAUAUUCUAAAUUUUGAAGUCCCAGCUUUGGCUGAGAGGAGGCCAGCAUUGGAGUACAAGAGAAAUACAUCAGUUCCAUGGAGAAAUGAAGGAACUCUCUGAAGCCUGGAAACCCCUGGGAGGGAAGCACAUGUAUUAUUCUAGAUCAGAACUAAACAUUCCAGCAUGGAGGAUGACCUCAUGUGGCCUCCCUGUCGAAAGACAUGCAACCUAUGUAUUAAGUAAGAUAUUGUUGAUGGCAAGUACACACUGCUUGGCAUUGAUUUCUUCCUUGCUGCAAGGAGGUGGACCCAAGGUGAAUUCAAAAUGGAACACAGGAAAUAAGAAGUAAAUAUAGUGAAAGGCAAGAAUUUGAUUUGAUGAAACUCAUCACUAAAUGAUGAAACUGAUUACUCAACGUAUGUUAUUACUAGAGCUUUUUAGUGGAGAUAUGAUACUAUCGGUGUAAGCCAAUAUAAAAUUGCACUGUAAUAAAGAACACUGGAUCUGAAAUGAGACUAGUUACUAUCUCAGUGUUUGUUUGAAUAUCUUUAAGGUAGGGGUAAAAACCGAAUAUGAAGUAAGGUACAUGAGAAAAAAUUGUCAUGAUAUUUAGGAGUUUUAGUAAUAAUUAUAUAAAUAUUAAUGUUUCUGGGUAAGUUUCACAAAAGAGAAAAUCUUGUAAGAAGCUAAAAGGGGUAAGGAAACCUUUCCUAUAAAGGAACAAGGAUGAGAACUAUAGCAAAAUUUCAUCAGAA